GUUGUCCCGUCAUUGUCAGAUAAAACGUCGAUCGUGUUUCAGACGGCUCCAUUUCUCUGGAGACGCUGCAGAGGCAGCUUGUUAUGAAAGGAAGAUUAUUGGACCAACGCAGAGCAACACAUGGUUCCAGGUUGAGGUCAGGAUGGGGAACAUCUCACCCAGGGUUCUGGUCUCACUCUUGCUGAACACACUGAUCUGCUGUAGAAAAACUCAAGAUCCUGUGCUGAUUAUUGAUCCCAACUGGUCGACUUUUUAUC